rnacentral:piRNA from 1 species
UAAUCGUAUCCUGCAACUUCUGGUUGGUC